rnacentral:rRNA from 1 species
AGGGAUGCUACCGGGCGACCGGAUGCGGAUCUCGAAAGCCUGUCCCAGUUCGGACUGGAGUCUGCAACCCGACUCCACGAAGUUGGAUUCGCUAGUAAUCGCGCAUCAGCCAUGGCGCGGUGAGUACGUUCCCGGGCCUUGUACACACCGCCCGUCAAGCCAUGGGAGCCGGGGGCGCCUGAAGUCCGGGACCGCGAGGACCGGCCUAGGGCGAAACUGGUAACUGGGGCUAAGUCGUAACAAGGUAAC